UAGUAGUGGCAAUGGUACCCCGUACCCAUAAAGGUGACGCUGAUAAUUUUUCAUCGUCCCAUGAGAUAUGCAAAUAACGUUGUGUUAUUUGCAAAUUGACCUACAAAAGCUAUUGUUUUGAUCUGUUCAAGUGGCCACCAGCGAGAUGGCUAAUAAACUAGGAGCAUCACCACAACUAAUCAGCACUAACGAGAUAAAUCUAAUCUUGUCCAUAACUGAAUUGCUAACGAACUACUACACUACUGGCUUGGCAAAGAGUUCAGUCCUGGCUGGCAUCUACUACUGCCUUUUGCGCUAGCUUUUUCCUCUUCCUCUCCUGCUUCUCACGCCUCUCUUCGUCCAUGAUCCGGCGGAGCUCCUCGUCGUCCUCUUGUCUUGCAAGUCUUGCACUGCAUAUCCAAAGCAACGGAAAAAUGUUAGCUAGCUAGGUGGUCGUUUUUUGCAACAGGAUUGCAUUGUUG
rnacentral:sRNA from 1 species